rnacentral:rRNA from 1 species
UACGGAGGGAGCUAGCGUUGUUCGGAAUUACUGGGCGUAAAGCGUGCGUAGGCGGUUACUCAAGUCAGAGGUGAAAGCCCGGGGCUCAACCCCGGAACUGCCUUUGAAACUAGGUAGCUAGAAUCUUGGAGAGGUCAGUGGAAUUCCGAGUGUAGAGGUGAAAUUCGUAGAUAUCGGGAGGAACACCAGUGGCGAAGGCGGCGACCUGGGCCAAUAUUGACGCUGAGGUGCGAAAGCGUGGGGAGCAAACAGG